GCAGAAUUCAGUGAAUCAUCGAAUCUUUGAACGCACCUUGCACCCUUUGGUAUCCCCAAAGGGUAUGCUCGUUUGAGUGUCAUU
rnacentral:rRNA from 1 species